GCAAUAUGAAAAAGUGUUUGAAAUUAUUGAUGCAAGGUGGUCAGACCAACUCCAUCGGCCUUUGCAUGUUGCAGGCCAUGUUUUGAACCCAGGAUUGUAUUAUAAAGCUCAAGAAGAGGGAACUUUACUACAGAGUCUGUGGACUGAGUAUUAUGCAUGUGUUGAGAAGAUGAUCCCUGAUACAACAAUACAAGAUUUACUAGUCGCUGAGCUUCCUAGGUACAAAAUGGCGGAUGGACUAUUUGGUUGUGGUCCGGCUAAAAGAGCUAGAGACACAAGGUCACCGGUGAAACACCAAACUUGCAAAAGUUUGCCAUGAAAGUAUUAAGCCUAACUUGUAGCUCAUCCGGAUGUGAGCGAAAUUGGAGUGUGUUUGAACACAUUCAUUCCAAAAAGAGGAAUAGGCUUGCACUAUCGCGUCUCAAUGAUCUAGUGUACAUUAAGUACAAUAGAACAUUGAAACGUCGUUAUGAUGCUCGUGAUCUCAUUGAUCCAAUUCGCUUGGAUAACAUUGAUGAUUCAAAUGAAUGGUUAGUUGGAUGCCCCGAAGAUCAAGAAGAUGAACUAGUAUAUGAGGAUGAUGAUCUUACUUGGGGUAGUGUUGCUACGGCAAUUGGAGCUGAUGAGAGUAUCUAUCAUCUU